AAAACUCAUAAACUUUUACAUUUAUGGAAAUGAAAUAUAAAUCGUACAACAAUUAAGAAAAUGUAACUGCUGCCAUAGAAAUGUGGUCACUAGUCAGGACUCAGAAGCUUCCUACUGCAUUCUGCAAUAUUUAAUCUUUCUAUCUAAGAAGCAUGUCCAUGUCGUGACAAUUUUCACACAAAAGUAAUAAUGGGCUAUUCCUACAGCUAUAAUGCUCAAGACCCUGGCUUGAAAUUAUAACAAUGAGAAGAAAAAUAAUAACAACAUAAAGCAUGGGAUGUUGAUGAGCUUUUCUCCUUUGAGACGUAUUGCUACUGAAAAUUCUGGCGGUGGAGGAUACUUGUAAUACCAUGGAAAAUAGGGCAAUAUUGGGUUAGGAGGUGGUGGUGCAUUUGCAUACCCAAAUGGAGGGAUAUUUGGCACCUCCCCUCCGGAUGGUGGUGGAUAGUAGAAUGAUGGUGGCACUGGCACCGUUGGCAACGGCGGUGAAGGUGGAGGUGGGCAUUUUGCAGUGGGUAUGGGAGGCGGUUGACAAGAAUAGGGACAUACAUAAUUAAUAGGUGGAGGGGGUGAGGAGUUUAUUGUAGUUUGGCUAGGGACUGUAAUUUGUGACAUCAAUUUGGAUGGUGAACUCAACAACAAUAUUGUGACCAUAAAUAUCGCUUUGAUGAAAUUUUUGGCCAUUUGAGGAUAAGUUUGGCCUUAGAAAUUAAGAUGAGGAAGGAGAAAAUAAG
rnacentral:misc_RNA from 1 species